CUGGAGGUAUCAGAAGUGCGAAUGCUGACAUAAGUAACGAUAAAGCGGGUGAAAAGCCCGCUCGCCGGAAGACCAAGGGUUCCUGUCCAACGUUAAUCGGGGCAGGGUGAGUCGACCCCUAAGGCGAGGCCGAAAGGCGUAGUCGAUGGGAAACGGGUUAAUAUUCCCGUACUUGGUGUUACUGCGAAGGGGGGACGGAGAAGGCUAUGUUGGCCGGGCGACGGUUGUCCCGGUUUAAGCGUGUAGGUGUGUGUUCCAGGUAAAUCCGGUUCACUUUAACACUGAGGCGUGAUGACGAGGCACUACGGUGCUGAAGUAACAAAUGCCCUGCUUCCAGGAAAAGCCUCUAAGCAUCAGGUAACAUCAAAUCGUACCCCAAACCGACACAGGUGGUCAGGUAGAGAAUACCAAGGCGCUUGAGAGAACUCGGGUGAAGGAACUAGGCAAAAUGGUGCCGUAACUUCGGGAGAAGGCACGCUGACACGUAGGUGAAGUGAUUUACUCACGGAGCUGAAGUCAGUCGAAGAUACCAGCUGGCUGCAACUGUUUAUUAAAAACACAGCACUGUGCAAACACGAAAGUGGACGUAUACGGUGUGACGCCUGCCCGGUGCCGGAAGGUUAAUUGAUGGGGUCAGCGCAAGCGAAGCUCCUGAUCGAAGCCCCGGUAAACGGCGGCCGUAACUAUAACGGUCCUAAGGUAGCGAAAUUCCUUGUCGGGUAAGUUCCGACCUGCACGAAUGGCGUAAUGAUGGCCAGGCUGUCUCCACCCGAGACUCAGUGAAAUUGAACUCGCUGUGAAGAUGCAGUGUACCCGCGGCAAGACGGAAAGACCCCGUGAACCUUUACUAUAGCUUGACACUGAACAUUGAGCCUUGAUGUGUAGGAUAGGUGGGAGGCUUUGAAGUGUGGACGCCAGUCUGCAUGGAGCCGACCUUGAAAUACCACCCUUUAAUGUUUGAUGUUCUAACGUGGACCCGUUACCCGGGUUGCGGACAGUGUCUGGUGGGUAGUUUGACUGGGGCGGUCUCCUCCUAAAGAGUAACGGAGGAGCACGAAGGUUGGCUAAUCCUGGUCGGACAUCAGGAGGUUAGUGCAAUGGCAUAAGCCAGCUUGACUGCGAGCGUGACGGCGCGAGCAGGUGCGAAAGCAGGUCAUAGUGAUCCGGUGGUUCUGAAUGGAAGGGCCAUCGCUCAACGGAUAAAAGGUACUCCGGGGAUAACAGGCUGAUACCGCCCAAGAGUUCAUAUCGACGGCGGUGUUUGGCACCUCGAUGUCGGCUCAUCACAUCCUGGGGCUGAAGUAGGUCCCAAGGGUAUGGCUGUUCGCCAUUUAAAGUGGUACGCGAGCUGGGUUUAGAACGUCGUGAGACAGUUCGGUCCCUAUCUGCCGUGGGCGCUGGAGAACUGAGGGGGGCUGCUCCUAGUACGAGAGGACCGGAGUGGACGCAUCACUGGUGUUCGGGUUGUCAUGCCAAUGGCACUGCCCGGUAGCUAAAUGCGGAAGAGAUAAGUGCUGAAAGCAUCUAAGCACGAAACUUGCCCCGAG
rnacentral:rRNA from 1 species